CAGAUACUGUAUCUGGUACUUCAGCUAUAAUUAUGGUUUUCGAAUACUACACUGUAAGAUUAAUAAUGAGCGGUUGCGUGGUUACUACACUGUACCCCUGCCAAAUGGAUUCAGUCCCUGAAUAAACUUGUGCAGGACAUAGAGAGAAUUGUCAAGUUCUUGAAGUUGGAGGAUUUCGUCAAGUCAAACAACUUUUUAAGGCAGAAGUGUACUUGGUUCUUGUCUUGUCUCCCAGCGGCAAUCUGUACAAUCUAGGUUUUUGUCAAGUACCACCAAGUUAAGUCAAGGCAAUAGACUUACUUGCCGUGGGAUAGAGUUCAGGGCAUUCUAGCCAAGGGAUCAUGUCAAUUCUGAUGUGCACAGGGAUGGGAAAAAGUGUGUCGGAACUAAUUGAAUGCCGGAACUGAUUGAAUGACUGUAUCGUGGCUUUUGGAAUGGUUACAGUCAUAGUGCAUCUUCAUUGAUGGAAGCUCUGAGACACAAAUGAAUGGUGUACCGGGUGAGUCGUAUUCUUUAAUUUGGUUCAUUAAAUUCAACUCAGUGAUAGAAAGAAUCUAAGUAAUAUUUUAAGAAUGAUCGAAAAUGCGGUCAUAUUGUAGACAGUAGGUCAAUGGCGUAGCUUAAAGAGGGACUGUAGGCUAUAAGCUUGAGCGUGCACAUAAUGUCUGUCUGCCAGCUGUUUGCUUGUUUAAUUUGAACCACAAGUAAUAUUGUUUAUAUUGUAAAUGCAUUAAGCAUUAUUGUGAAGGUGUAAACAUUCAAAUAAUAUUAUUGUCCAUUCUUUAGCCCGUUUUUAAUUUAUUUUAUUUUACAAGUACAAGCACCAGGCGAGCUUAGUUUAUAGCACAUCUGACUGAAAAAGUAAUAAUAAUAAAAAUAAAAGAACUAUCGAAGUGUGAGGGGUCACAGGUUCAAGGCCCAUAUUGAGCACUGGCUGGUUAGGCCCUACGUAAGAUAAGAUUUCUAAUUUUAAUUAUAAAGGUAAUGUUAUUUGUGCUCAUUUUGAAUCAAUAAAAA
rnacentral:lncRNA from 1 species